GCCGCCCGAGUUAGAAACUGUAAAUUACCCAGCUUUCUUGCAGCAUUUUGGGCAGGCACGCCCACUUUACCUCGGAGUACUUGAGGGUACCCCGAGGUGGACAUACGACCUUACAACAAACAUGGCUUCG